UCUGCGAUUUCCGAAUGGGGAAACCCAACUGCAUAAGCAGUUACUGUUAACUGAAUACAUAGGUUAACAGAGCAAACCGGGGGAACUGAAACAUCUAAGUACCCCGAGGAGAAGAAAUCAACCGAGAUUCCGGUAGUAGCGGCGAGCGAACCUGGAUUAGCCCUUAAGCACUCGGUGAAGUAGGUGAACAAGCUGGAAAGCUUGGCGAUACAGGGUGAUAGCCCCGUAACCGACGCUUCAUCGAGCGUGAAAUCGAGUAGGGCGGGACACGUGAUAUCCUGUCUGAAUAUGGGGGGACCAUCCUCCAAGGCUAAAUACUCCUGACUGACCGAUAGUGAACCAGUACCGUGAGGGAAAGGCGAAAAGAACCCCUGUGAGGGGAGUGAAAUAGAACCUGAAACCGUGUACGUACAAGCAGUAGGAGCACCUUCGUGGUGUGACUGCGUACCUUUUGUAUAAUGGGUCAGCGACUUAUAUUCAGUGGCAAGGUUAACCGUAUAGGGGAGCCGUAGCGAAAGCGAGUCUUAACUGGGCGCUCAGUCUCUGGAUAUAGACCCGAAACCGGGUGAUCUAGCCAUGGGCAGGUUGAAGGUUGAGUAACAUCAACUGGAGGACCGAACCGACUAAUGUUGAAAAAUUAGCGGAUGACUUGUGGCUAGGGGUGAAAGGCCAAUCAAACUCGGAGAUAGCUGGUUCUCCCCGAAAGCUAUUUAGGUAGCGCCUCGGACGAAUACUACUGGGGGUAGAGCACUGUUAAGGCUAGGGGGUCAUCCCGACUUACCAACCCUUUGCAAACUCCGAAUACCAGUAAGUACUAUCCGGGAGACACACGGCGGGUGCUAACGUCCGUCGUGGAGAGGGAAACAACCCAGACCGCCAGCUAAGGUCCCAAAGUAUUGCUAAGUGGGAAACGAUGUGGGAAGGCUCAGACAGCUAGGAUGUUGGCUUAGAAGCAGCCAUCAUUUAAAGAAAGCGUAAUAGCUCACUAGUCGAGUCGGCCUGCGCGGAAGAUGUAACGGGGCUAAGCAAUACACCGAAGCUGCGGCAAUGUCUUUUAGACAUUGGGUAGGGGAGCGUUCUGUAAGCCGUUGAAGGUGAAUCGUAAGGUUUGCUGGAGGUAUCAGAAGUGCGAAUGCUGACAUGAGUAACGACAAAGGGGGUGAAAAACCUCCUCGCCGGAAGACCAAGGGUUCCUGUCCAACGUUAAUCGGGGCAGGGUGAGUCGACCCCUAAGGUGAGGCCGAAAGGCGUAAUCGAUGGGAAACGGGUUAAUAUUCCCGUACUUCUGACUAUUGCGAUGGGGGGACGGAGAAGGCUAGGUGGGCCAGGCGACGGUUGUCCUGGUUCAAGUGCGUAGGCUUGAGAGUUAGGUAAAUCCGGCUCUCUCUAAG
rnacentral:rRNA from 1 species